GCUGGGUGCAGUAGUGCAUGCCUGUAAUCCCUGUGGCUCAGGAGGCUGAGGCAGGAGGAUCAUGAGUUCGAAGGCAGUUUCAGCAAUGGAAAGGUGCUAAGAAACUCAGUGAGACCCUGUCUCUA
rnacentral:sRNA from 1 species